rnacentral:lncRNA from 1 species
CCUGCCAGGGGAGCGAGCUGUUAAAUCUCAAGAGAUUCUUUUACCAAGUUCAAGUUUUAAAUAAAUGAAACUGUACAGACUCCAACAUACCAUCUUGAGAUAACCUCAGGCCCUGAAGUGUAUUGACAAGCAGUUUGAUCUCAGCGAAGUUGUAAAACUGUCUUUGAAAAGAAUAACUGGAUGAAAAACAUUAGCAGCAACUGAAUCAAGAGAAAACGUGACUUCAAACUGAAAGGCACCCUCAUGGAAGACAACUCUUUUGUCUUUAGGAUUUCAGAUACUUUUAGAAUCAAACCUAGAAAGGAUACAAAAAGCAGAAGCAAGACCAGCAUUUGGGAGAAGAACAGAUUAUGGACAAAAAAUUCCAUGGGCAAGAUUCACUCCAGUGACUCCUGGUUUUGCCCGUUUUCACCUAGAUCAGACUUUUUAAAUCAACAGUACCUUAUACUGAAACAUCACUUCUCAUUUGCUGUUUGGACAAUGGUGAUGGAACUGCUGCUUUAUUGCCUACGGAGAAGCGAAGCGAAGAGUCUAAAGUGGGUCUUGCAGUUACACUGGACAAAAGAAGUUUGA